UGCGGUAAUUUGACCGUGCGAAGGUAGCAUAAUCAAUAGUCUCUUAAUUGGAGGCUUGAAUGAACGGCUGGAUGAGGGAUUAACUGUCUUCCGUUGUACAUGCUGAAUUUAACUUUUAAGUGAGAAGGCUUAAAUAUAAUAGUGGGACGAUAAGACCCUAUAAAACUUUAUAUAAGUGGACUGAGCCUGUGAUUUAUCUGGUAAAGCGGGCUGGGUUUUUUUAUAUUUUGUUGGGGCGACAUUGAUAAAAUUUGUUGGUAACUGUUCUGUGAAUUUUAUAAUGGUGGUUAGGUAAAGAUCCUUUUAUAAGGAUUAAGAGUUUAAGUUACUUUAGGGAUAACAGCGUAAUUUUUCUUGAGAGUUCUUAUCGACAGAAGUAGUUGCGACCUCGAUGUUGAAUUAA
rnacentral:rRNA from 1 species